AGCAGCUCGCGGAGAGGGGGUGUGUCGCCUGAGGCAAUAAGGCCCUAGUAUGACGACCAGGAAAGCAAGAACGGAAUGCCAACACUAUGCCAGGGCAAAAAGGUUGAAAGGCCUCUGGUGCCAUUGCUGUUCUUUGAAAAACUCACCGUGCGACGUUCUUCGUGGCUGAACAGACAUCUCGGGAUCCCUCGAGAGAGUCGAUUCAUUCAUUCGACAAGUAUUUCUACGUGUGUGGAGGACCUUUUGCAUGCCAGGCAUGCGAUUUUGACCCAAGCAGACAUGAUAGCUACCUUCAUAAAGCUUCCAGUCUGAUGAGGCGGAAGAGGGAGAAAACAAAGAGGGCCCCAACAGGAGAACCUUUCAGGGGAGAGGGAAACAUUUUUUUCUUUUCCUGAAUUAGAAUCAGCAGCUUUCCAGUAACAGGAAUAGAUGCUUGGAUCCAUCAUUCCAGAGUUAAACCGGCUGGCCCAGCUGACGACCGUGGAGAGUGGGAGACUGCCCUCGAUCUGGAGAGACCUCUUCGCCUGACAAUACAGAGAUGGAGACGACAAUCUCAAAGCCCUGCUCUGACCACACCGGAAGCUGGUCAGUCAACGCACAGCUGAAGCUUGAGGCAUCGGCUGCCUGUGAGCCCAAAUGGAAGGAGGGUUUCAAAAUAAGCAUUCGCAUUGACGGAAGAGGCCUUGACCCUGGAGCUGUGCUACAUUUCCAGAGAAUCACGUUUGCGCUCCAAGCUGCCUCUCACAGCAUCUUUCAUUCCUUUUAUGAAGAGAUAAGAAACACCCCACCUCCCAUUCCGGCCACAACUAAGAACUUGUUCUUAGCCCUGGCAGAAACUAUUGCACAAACUCUCAAGGUCUCCUCUUGUUAUGUAUGCGGGGGAACGAACACAGGAGACCACUGGCCUUAGCAAGCCAGAGAGCUGGACCCAUUAGAGCCUCAUAAUGAGACUGCAUACCCCCAACUCACCAAUGGGGUAUGGCUCCUCAGAACUGCUAUUAUAGGGAGAAAUUGUCUUGCGAGGCGGGGAGGAUGGUUUAAUGUUUCAGUUGGAAGCUUAACAUGUUUAGGCCUGAGGUUAUAAUCUGACUGCCCAAAAGACUCAAUGGUGGUCAUCCUCCAAUUGCUCAGAGCCCAAGCCUAAUCCCUUGUCUAACUUUUCCCACCUUCGACAAGCAUGGGAAGAUAUCAGUGCUAAUAUCCAGUGGCGGGCACCAAAGGGAUUAUAUUGGAUUUGUGGAAAAAUGGCCUAUUCCAUACUCCCCCCAAAUUGGGCUGGGACAUGUGUACUGGGAACAAUCAGACCUUCCUUCUUCCUGCUCCCGCUGUCACUAGGGAAGCAACUGGGAGUUCCUAUGUAUAGGGCACAGGGUGCCCAGAGAGACCAGAGGGCCCUCCAAAUUGGAGACUGGGAAGAUGAUAAAUGGCUCCCAGAAUGGAUAAUUCAAUAUUAUGGGCCUGCCACCUGGGCAGAGGAUGGCUCUUGGGGAUAUCGCACCCCUAUCUAUAUGCUGAACCACAUCAUCAGACUACAGGCGGUUUUGGAACACAUAACAAAUGACACUGCAAGGGCCUUGACUAUAUUGGCCCAACAACAAACUAAAAUGCACAGUGCAAUCUACAAAAAUCACUUGGCCUUGGAUUGUUUACUUGCUUCUAAAGGAGGGGUUUGUGGAAAAUUUAACUUUAAUUGCUGUCUACAAAUAGAUGACACCGGAAAGGUGGUAGAAGAAAUUGCUGACCGCAUGACUAAACUAGCCCAUGUACCUGUACAAACUUGGAAAGGAUGGGAUACAGACAGUCUCUUUGGUAAAUGGUUCUCUUGGUUGGGAGGAAUUAAGACAAUGGUUGGAAUAGUCAUGGUUAUACUUACAGGGUGCCUACUUGUUCCCUGCCUUGUACCUCUCCUGAUAAGUAUUAUAAAAGGUUUUAUAAAAACCAUGGUUAAAAGAAAAACAGCCUCCCACCUGCUACUUAUUAGAGGCUACCAAAGGGUUAUGACUCAUGAUGAUCUGUAAAGGGUGCAGAUGCAUCCUGAACAUCAAGAGGGGGGGAAUGAAAUGGAGUUUUAACUAAAGAACAACCCCCCCCCCAACUAAGAAGGC